UCGCUUCACCAUAGUUCUCUUAAUCCUCCUGCAUGGCACUGUUGCUGGGGAAGGCACUUUGUUACCUACACAUGGGAACUCAGUGCCAGAUGAGACAGGUGAGGGUGUACAAGAUGUCAGCACAGCCUUGACUAAUAUCAAACAGGACUUAAGUGGGACCCACGACCCUCUGGAGCUGGAGCCGAGACAGGAUGUUCUGGACUGCCAUCAGGUGGCUCUGCUUGGUGCCUGAAUCACCCUGUUUGUCAAUACUUGGGAAGGAGAGCCGUGAGUAAUUAUGUUCUGUUCUUACAAACAUCGCUGGUUGUGUUACGAUCUCUCUGACGGUCUGUCUCCUGCAUGAGGAGGCAGUAUGAGAGAAAGCAGUUGUUUUUCAAUCCAAUUUCCUUAUAAUGAUUUUGCCUUCUAUAUCUUAAACGGUUACGCUAUUAAAUUGCAUUUAAUAGUCAGUUCCAAUCCUUCAGGGUUACCUGGAAUUCUUCCUACAGACAGCAGGAUUUGUAACCGUUCAGGAUCUUACAGCACUUAGAAGCACCAAGCUGUGGUUCGUGACCUUUUCGUAGUGUGUGGUGUUGCUGGAGGUGGUUGGCGAUGCUCUAGCAGAGGACAAGGGCCUUGGGAGAUGGAUGUUGUGAGAAAUCCUCGCUGGCCACUGAACACCCUGGCCGCCUGUGCUGCUUCUUCCCAGGUCCCAGGAAUCGCAACAGCAACAUGACAUCACGUUUCUUUGGGCAUGUGUAUCCAGGCUUGCCAAUAAGCUGUGCCAAGUAUGCUCCACGUAGGCAGUCACUGAACUAAAUGAUGGUACUAUGAGCAGGAGAGCUGAUACACUGGAGUAGCUGAAGCCAGCAGCCUUGCCUGUUUGAAGGUGAAAAGCUUGAAGAAUAAAGGAGCAGAGGUGAUAAAAACUGACAAAAGACUUGCUUG